rnacentral:rRNA from 1 species
GGUUAAGCGACUAAGCGUACACGGUGGAUGCCCUGGCAGUCAGAGGCGAUGAAGGGCGUGCUAAUCUGCGAUAAGCGCCGGUAAGGUGAUAUGAACCGUUAUAACCGGCGAUACCCGAAUGGGGAAACCCAGUGUGACUCGUCACACUAUCAUUAACUGAAUCCAUAGGUUAAUGAGGCGAACCGGGGGAACUGAAACAUCUAAGUACCCCGAGGAAAAGAAAUCAACCGAGAUUCCCCCAGUAGCGGCGAGCGAACGGGGAGGAGCCCAGAGCCUGAAUCAGCAUGUGUGUUAGUGGAAGCGUCUGGAAAGGCGCGCGAUACAGGGUGACAGCCCCGUACACAAAAGCGCAUGUGCUGUGAGCUCGAUGAGUAGGGCGGGACACGUGGUAUCCUGUCUGAAUAUGGGGGGACCAUCCUCCAAGGCUAAAUACUCCUGACUGACCGAUAGUGAACCAGUACCGUGAGGGAAAGGCGAAAAGAACCCCGGCGAGGGGAGUGAAAAAGAACCUGAAACCGUGUACGUACAAGCAGUGGGAGCCCCACCACUAAGCCAGUGGUGAACUCCACAUACGCAUCCUUUGCUGAGGAUACGGUUAACGGAGCGAAAGCGACGUUCAACCGCAAAAGAAGCAGAGGGGGCUUAGUGGUGGGGUGACUGCGUACCUUUUGUAUAAUGGGUCAGCGACUUAUAUUCUGUAGCAAGGUUAACCGUAUAGGGGAGCCGUAGGGAAACCGAGUCUUAACCGGGCGUUAAGUUGCAGGGUAUAGACCCGAAACCCGGUGAUCUAGCCAUGGGCAGGUUGAAGGUUGGGUAACACUAACUGGAGGACCGAACCGACUAAUGUUGAAAAAUUAGCGGAUGACCUGUGGCUGGGGGUGAAAGGCCAAUCAAACCGGGAGAUAGCUGGUUCUCCCCGAAAGCUAUUUAGGUAGCGCCUCGUGAAUUCAUCUCCGGGGGUAGAGCACUGUUUCGGCUAGGGGGCCAUCCCGGCUUACCAACCCGAUGCAAACUGCGAAUACCGGAGAAUGUUAUCACGGGAGACACACGGCGGGUGCUAACGUCCGUCGUGAAGAGGGAAACAACCCAGACCGCCAGCUAAGGUCCCAAAGUCAUGGUUAAGUGGGAAACGAUGUGGGAAGGCCCAGACAGCCAGGAUGUUGGCUUAGAAGCAGCCAUCAUUUAAAGAAAGCGUAAUAGCUCACUGGUCGAGUCGGCCUGCGCGGAAGAUGUAACGGGGCUAAACCAUGCACCGAAGCUGCGGCAGCGACGUUUAUGCGUUGUUGGGUAGGGGAGCGUUCUGUAAGCCUG